rnacentral:rRNA from 1 species
UACGUAGGUGGCAAGCGUUAUCCGGAUUUAUUGGGCGUAAAGAGAACGCAGGCGGUCUUUUAAGUCUGAUGUGAAAGCCUUCGGCUUAACCGGAGUAGUGCAUUGGAAACUGGGAGACUUGAGUGCAGAAGAGGGGAGUGGAACUCCAUGUGUAGCGGUGAAAUGCGUAGAUAUAUGGAAGAACACCAAUGGCGAAAGCGGCUCUCUGGUCUGUAACUGACGCUGAGGUUCGAAAGCGUGGGUAGCAAACAGG